rnacentral:rRNA from 1 species
GUAGGGAAUCUUGCGCAAUGGGCGAAAGCCUGACGCAGCCAUGCCGCGUGAAUGAUGAAGGUCUUAGGAUUGUAAAAUUCUUUCACCGGGGACGAUAAUGACGGUACCCGGAGAAGAAGCCCCGGCUAACUUCGUGCCAGCAGCCGCGGUAAUACGAAGGGGGCUAGCGUUGCUCGGAAUUACUGGGCGUAAAGGGCGCGUAGGCGGACAGUUUAGUCAGAGGUGAAAGCCCAGGGCUCAACCUUGGAAUUGCCUUUGAUACUGGCUGUCUUGAGUACGGGAGAGGUGAGUGGAACUCCGAGUGUAGAGGUGAAAUUCGUAGAUAUUCGGAAGAACACCAGUGGCGAAGGCGACUCACUGGCCCGUUACUGACGCUGAGGCGCGAAAGCGUGGGGAGCAAACAGGAUUAGAAACCCUAGUAGUCC